rnacentral:lncRNA from 1 species
UUGUUUCCGGUUUUUCAACCCUCUUUUCUAAGCAAAAGAUGUCCAAACUAUACAGACCCACAGAAUCUAACAGAUGUCUUUAUAUUCCUCCUCCUAGAACUCUCAGAGGAUCCAGCACUGCAGCUGGUCGUCACUGGGCUGUGCCUGUGUGCCUGGUCACGGUGCUGUGGAACCUGCUCAGCAUCCUGGCCGUCAGCCCUGACUCCCACCUCCACACCCCCAUGCACUUCUUCCUCUGCAACCUGUCCUUGCCUGACAUCGGUUUCACCUCCACCACGGUCCCCAAGAUGAUCGUGGACAUCCAAUCUCACAGCAGAGUCAUCUCCUAUGCAGGCUGCCUGACUCAGAUGUCUCUCUCUGCCAUUUUUGGAGGCAUGGAAGAGAGACAUGCUCCUGAGUGUGAUGGCCUAUGACCAGUUUGUAGCCAUCUGUCACCCUCUGUAUCAUUCAGCCAUCAUGAACCCGUGUUUCUGUGGCUUCCUGGUUUUGUUGUCUUUUUUUUUCUCAGUCUUUUAGACUCCCAGCUGCAAAACUUGAUCGCCUUACAAAUCACCUGCUUCAAGGAUGUGGAAAUUCCUAAUUUCUUCUGUGACCCUUCUCAACUCCCCCAUCUUGCAUGUUGUGACACCUUCACCAAUAACAUUAUCAUGUAUUUCCCUGCUGCCAUAUUUGGUUUUCUUCCCAUCUCGGGGACCCUUUUCUCUUACUAUAAAAUUGUUUCCUCCAUUCUGAGGGUUUCAUCAUCAGGUGGGAGCUAUAAAGCCUUCGCCACCUGUGGAUCUCACCUGUCAGUUGUUUGCUGAUUUUAUGGAACAGGCGUUGGAGGGUACCUCAGUUCAGAUGUGUCGUCUUCCCUGAGAAAGCGUGCAGUGGCCUCAGUGAUGUACACAGUGGUCACCCCCAUGCUGAAUCCCUUGAUCUACAGCCUGAGAAACAGGGAUAUUAAAGGUGUCCUGUGGCAGCCGUGCAGCCGCACGGCAGCACAGUCUCAUCUCAAUAUCUUAUCUGUUCCAUUCCUUUUGCAGGAUGGGUUAAAAAAGGCAGCAAG